GAGUUUGAUCGUGGCUCAGAUUGAACGCUGGCGACAUGCCUUACACAUGCAAGUCGAACGGCAGCAUGAUCUAGCUUGCUAGAUUGAUGGCGAGUGGCGAACGGGUGAGUAAUACAUCGGAACGUGCCCUGUAGUGGGGGAUAACUAGUCGAAAGAUUAGCUAAUACCGCAUACGACCUGAGGGUGAAAGUGGGGGACCGCAAGGCCUCAUGCUAUAGGAGCGACCGAUGUCUGAUUAGCUAGUUGGUGGGGUAAAGGCCCACCAAGGCGACGAUCAGUAGCUGGUCUGAGAGGACGAUCAGCCACACUGGGACUGAGACACGGCCCAGACUCCUACGGGAGGCAGCAGUGGGGAAUUUUGGACAAUGGGGGCAACCCUGAUCCAGCAACGCCGCGUGUGUG
rnacentral:rRNA from 1 species